GUCUAUGGCCAUGCUACCCUGAACAAGCCUGAUUCCAUCUGAUCUUGGAAGCUAAGCAGGGUCGGGCCUGGUUAGUACUUGGAUGGGAGACCACCUAGGAAAACCAGGUGCUGUAGGCU
rnacentral:rRNA from 1 species